GACGAACGCUGGCGGCGUGCUUAACACAUGCAAGUCGAGCGGUAAGGCCCUUUCGGGGGUACACGAGCGGCGAACGGGUGAGUAACACGUGGGUGACCUGCCCUCAGCUCUGGGAUAAGCCUGGGAAACUGGGUCUAAUACCGGAUAUGACUCCAUGACGCAUGUUGUGGGGUGGAAAGCCUUGUGCGGCUGAGGAUGGGCCCGCGGCCUAUCAGCUUGUUGGUGGGGUGAUGGCCUACCAAGGCGACGACGGGUAGCCGGCCUGAGAGGGCGACCGGCCACACUGGGACUGAGACACGGCCCAGACUCCUACGGGAGGGCAGCAGUGGGGGAAUCUUGCGCAAUGGGCGAAAGCCUGACGCAGCGACGCCGCGUGAGGGAUGAC
rnacentral:rRNA from 1 species